GUUGAAACACUGGUUUUCAUACGAUCACCAAAGUUAAGCAACAUUGAGCCUGGUCAGUAAGUAGAUGGGUGACCACUUGGGAAUACAAGGUGCUAUA